rnacentral:sRNA from 1 species
UAUAAACCGCGUUAGGGAUAGAAGUGGAGCUCUUUUUUUAAGACCCGAUUUUUAGGGUCUUAAAAAAAAGCGGGAACGAAUAGCCCGAUUCGCC